rnacentral:rRNA from 1 species
UACAGAGGUCUCAAGCGUUGUUCGGAUUCAUUGGGCGUAAAGGGUGCGUAGGUGGCGGGGUAAGUCAGGUGUGAAAUCUCGGGGCUCAACCCCGAAACUGCAUUUGAUACUGCCUUGCUCGAGUACUGGAGAGGAGAUUGGAAUUUACGGUGUAGCAGUGAAAUGCGUAGAUAUCGUAAGGAAGACCAGUGGCGAAGGCGAAUCUCUGGACAGUUACUGACGCUGAGGCACGAAGGCCAGGGGAGCAAACGGG